rnacentral:tRNA from 3 species
GCCGAGGUAGCUCAGUGGUAGAGCAGAGGACUGAAAAUCCUUGUGUCGCCAGUUCAAUCCUGGCCCUCGGCACCA